rnacentral:rRNA from 1 species
CACGCUACUUAGAUUCGGUAUGGAUUUAUUUCCUGAUCUUAAUAGGCUCAGCCGAUAAAAGGUUCUUGAAUAAUGAUCGGAACCAUAUUAGUGGGUCACAAUCGCCGUGCCAGAAUGAUCGGUAAAACGGCUCCCACGAGCGAAAUCUAUAUUGAAUAGGUGUAAAGGAUACGUAGGCGGUUCUGCGGUAACUAGAGUUAUAAUGGAGUAAGUACAAUACUUAGAGUAACGAUGAUAUGUUAUGAUCCUAAGGGGAGUGCUAAUGGCGAAGGCAACUUACUGAUAAUAACUGACGCUGAGGUAUGAAGGUUUGGGUAUAGACAGAGAUUAGAUACCUCAUUAUUCCACACUGUAAACGAUGCAAUCCAAAAGUUAGAUUAUAUCUAGUUUUUAAGUUAACACUUAAGAUUGCCACCUGUAGAGUAUAGCCGCAUGGCUGAAAUACAAAUAAUUAGACGGCCUGAGAGUACACGGCGUGAAGUAUGUUAUUUAAUUC